rnacentral:rRNA from 1 species
GGUUAAGCGACUAAGCGUACACGGUGGAUGCCCUGGCAGUCAGAGGCGAUGAAGGACGUGCUAAUCUGCGAAAAGCGUCGGUAAGGUGAUAUGAACCGUUAUAGCCGGCGAUGUCCGAAUGGGGAAACCCAGUGCAAUUCGUUGCACUAUCGUUAACUGAAUACAUAGGUUAACGAGGCGAACCGGGGGAACUGAAACAUCUAAGUACCCCGAGGAAAAGAAAUCAACCGAGAUUCCCCCAGUAGCGGCGAGCGAACGGGGAGCAGCCCAGAGUCUGAAUCAGCUUGUGUGUUAGUGGAACGGUCUGGAAAGUCCGACGGUACAGGGUGAUAGUCCCGUACACCAAAAUGCACAGGCUGUGAACUCGAAGAGUAGGGCGGGACACGUGGUAUCCUGUCUGAAUAUGGGGGGACCAUCCUCCAAGGCUAAAUACUCCUGACUGACCGAUAGUGAACCAGUACCGUGAGGGAAAGGCGAAAAGAACCCCGGCGAGGGGAGUGAAAAAGAACCUGAAACCGUGUACGUACAAGCAGUGGGAGCACCUUCGGGUGUGACUGCGUACCUUUUGUAUAAUGGGUCAGCGACUUAUAUUCUGUAGCAAGGUUAACCGUAUAGGGGAGCCGCAGGGAAACCGAGUCUUAACUGGGCGUUAAGUUGCAGGGUAUAGACCCGAAACCCGGUGAUCUAGCCAUGGGCAGGUUGAAGGUUGGGUAACACUAACUGGAGGACCGAACCGACUAAUGUUGAAAAAUUAGCGGAUGACUUGUGGCUGGGGGUGAAAGGCCAAUCAAACCGGGAGAUAGCUGGUUCUCCCCGAAAGCUAUUUAGGUAGCGCCUCGUGAAUUCAUCUUCGGGGGUAGAGCACUGUUUCGGCUAGGGGGUCAUCCCGACUUACCAACCGAUGCAAACUACGAAUACCGAAGAAUGUUAUCACGGGAGACACACGGCGGGUGCUAACGUCCGUCGUGAAGAGGGAAACAACCCAGACCGCCAGCUAAGGUCCCAAAGUCAUGGUUAAGUGGGAAACGAUGUGGGAAGGCACAGACAGCCAGGAUGUUGGCUUAGAAGCAGCCAUCAUUUAAAGAAAGCGUAAUAGCUCACUGGUCGAGUCGGCCUGCGCGGAAGAUGUAACGGGGCUAAACCAUGCACCGAAGCUGCGGCAGCGACACUAUGUGUUGUUGGGUAGGGGAGCGUUCUGUAAGCCUGCGAAGGUGACCUGUGAGGGUUGCUGGAGGUAUCAGAAGUGCGAAUGCUGACAUAAGUAACGAUAAAGCGGGUGAAAAGCCCGCUCGCCGGAAGACCAAGGGUUCCUGUCCAACGUUAAUCGGGGCAGGGUGAGUCGACCCCUAAGGCGAGGCCGAAAGGCGUAGUCGAUGGGAAACAGGUUAAUAUUCCUGUACUUGGUGUUACUGCGAAGGGGGGACGGAGAAGGCUAUGUUAGCCGGGCGACGGUUGUCCCGGUUUAAGCAUGUAGGCUGGUUAUCCAGGCAAAUCCGGAUAAUCAAGGCUGAGGUGUGAUGACGAGGCACUACGGUGCUGAAGUAACAAAUGCCCUGCUUCCAGGAAAAGCCUCUAAGCAUCAGGUAACAUCAAAUCGUACCCCAAACCGACACAGGUGGUCAGGUAGAGAAUACCAAGGCGCUUGAGAGAACUCGGGUGAAGGAACUAGGCAAAAUGGUGCCGUAACUUCGGGAGAAGGCACGCUGGUGUGUAGGUGAAGUCCCUGCGGAUGGAGCUGAGACCAGUCGAAGAUACCAGCUGGCUGCAACUGUUUAUUAAAAACACAGCACUGUGCAAACACGAAAGUGGACGUAUACGGUGUGACGCCUGCCCGGUGCCGGAAGGUUAAUUGAUGGGGUUAUCCGUAAGGAGAAGCUCUUGAUCGAAGCCCCGGUAAACGGCGGCCGUAACUAUAACGGUCCUAAGGUAGCGAAAUUCCUUGUCGGGUAAGUUCCGACCUGCACGAAUGGCGUAAUGAUGGCCAGGCUGUCUCCACCCGAGACUCAGUGAAAUUGAACUCGCUGUGAAGAUGCAGUGUACCCGCGGCAAGACGGAAAGACCCCGUGAACCUUUACUAUAGCUUGACACUGAACAUUGAGCCUUGAUGUGUAGGAUAGGUGGGAGGCUUUGAAGCGUGGACGCCAGUCUGCGUGGAGCCAACCUUGAAAUACCACCCUUUAAUGUUUGAUGUUCUAACGUUGGCCCCUUACCGGGGUUGCGGACAGUGUCUGGUGGGUAGUUUGACUGGGGCGGUCUCCUCCCAAAGCGUAACGGAGGAGCACGAAGGUUAGCUAAUCCUGGUCGGACAUCAGGAGGUUAGUGCAAUGGCAUAAGCUAGCUUGACUGCGAGCGUGACGGCGCGAGCAGGUGCGAAAGCAGGUCAUAGUGAUCCGGUGGUUCUGAAUGGAAGGGCCAUCGCUCAACGGAUAAAAGGUACUCCGGGGAUAACAGGCUGAUACCGCCCAAGAGUUCAUAUCGACGGCGGUGUUUGGCACCUCGAUGUCGGCUCAUCACAUCCUGGGGCUGAAGUAGGUCCCAAGGGUAUGGCUGUUCGCCAUUUAAAGUGGUACGCGAGCUGGGUUUAGAACGUCGUGAGACAGUUCGGUCCCUAUCUGCCGUGGGCGCUGGAGAAUUGAGGGGGGCUGCUCCUAGUACGAGAGGACCGGAGUGGACGCAUCACUGGUGUUCGGGUUGUCAUGCCAAUGGCACUGCCCGGUAGCUAAAUGCGGAAGAGAUAAGUGCUGAAAGCAUCUAAGCACGAAACUUGCCCCGAGAUGAGUUCUCCCUGAGACUUUAAGUCUCCUGAAGGAACGUUAAAGACGAUGACGUUGAUAGGCCGGGUGUGUAAGCGCAGCGAUGCGUUGAGCUAACCGGUACUAAUGAACCGUGAGGCUUAACCUUAC